GCGGCCAUAGCUCAGUUGGUAGAGCGCCAGGUUGUGGUCUUGGAUGUCACGGGUUCAAAUCCCGUUGGUCGCCCCA
rnacentral:tRNA from 1 species